rnacentral:lncRNA from 1 species
ACAUGCCUUUUUUCUUUUUUAUUCUCCAUUUAUUUCCUCUGUUCUAUUUUCUUCUUUGCCGUUCAUUUAUCCUCCACCUCCGCCUCCAAUUCCCACCACUUCCGCCGCCGCGAUUCACCUGACCAACUCCAGCACAACAACUGAGAGCGGAAUCCAACAACAAGACCCACCCCCAAAUCCCAGCCCAUAACCCCAGACCACAACCCUAGCCCACAACCGCCCACCAUCCCAUUGUUAACCUACUCUGUUUUGCCGGCGACGAGGCUAAUCAGGAGGCGAAGCCGUGGAACUUGGGCUGACAAAGGAGCCCGUCAAAGCUUCAGCUGCGAAAUCGAAGAAGGAAGCACGUGCUAAGAACAAGAUCAACAUCAACAAGAAUGGGGUAAAAUUGCGGAGGCUGAGAGAAUUGGUGAUGGGGACACUUAUGAUUUUGAUUUCUCUCUCUAAGGAAGAAUCGAGGACAUUUAUGAUUUGACAGGAGAGAGAGUGGACAUUGGAGGCCAUAUGGUGGAUGCGGUGGAGGUAGAUGGAGGAUAUAAUUAGGCGGAGGUAAGAGAGUACGAUGAGGCGUAGUCGGGAUAAAUAAGGGCGGCGAAGAUGGAGGAGAAAGCGGCGGAGGAAAGGGAGGGACUAGGGAGCGUGUCGGGCGGUCGGUGUCGGCGAGGGUGGAGAGAGGAUCAUGAAUUUCGAGCUUUGGAGUGCGUAGGUAAAUCGCCGGUGGUGGGUGGGCGAGGGAAGAUGUUGUUGCAGGUGGU